UACGUAGGGCGCGAGCGUUGUCCGGAUUUACUGGGCGUAAAGGGCUCGUAGGCGGUUUGUCGCGUCGGCCGUGGAAUCCCGCAGCUCAACUGUGGACGCGCGGUCGAUACGGGCAGACUUGAGGACGGUAGGGGCAAGCGGAAUUCCCGGUGUAGCGGUGAAAUGCGCAGAUAUCGGGAGGAACACCGACGGCGAAGGCAGCUUGCUGGGCCGAUCCUGACGCUGAGGAGCGAAAGCGUGGGUAGCGAACAGG
rnacentral:rRNA from 1 species